UACGUAUGGUGCAAGCGUUAUCCGGAUUUACUGGGUGUAAAGGGAGCGCAGGCGGCGCGGCAAGUCCGAUGUGAAAACCCCCGGCUCAACCGGGGGACUGCAUUGGAAACUACCGGGCUGGAGUGCCGGAGAGGUAGGCGGAAUUCCUAGUGUAGCGGUGAAAUGCGUAGAUAUUAGGAGGAACACCAGAGGCGAAGGCGGCUAACUGGACUGCAACUGACGCUGAGGCACGAAAGUGUGGGGAGCAAACAGG
rnacentral:rRNA from 1 species